GAUGAACGCUGGCGGCGUGCCUAAUACAUGCAAGUCGAGCGAACGGACGAGAAGCUUGCUUCUCUGAUGUUAGCGGCGGACGGGUGAGUAACACGUGGAUAACCUACCUAUAAGACUGGGAUAACUUCGGGAAACCGGAGCUAAUACCGGAUAAUAUUUUGAACCGCAUGGUUCAAAAGUGAAAGACGGUCUUGCUGUCACUUAUAGAUGGAUCCGCGCUGCAUUAGAUAGUUGGUAAGGUAACGGCUUACCAAGGCAACGAUGCAUAGCCGACCUGAGAGGGUGAUCGGCCACCCUGGAACUGAGACACGGUCCAGACUCCUACGGGAGGCAGCAGUAGGGAAUCUUCCGCAAUGGGCGAAAGCCUGACGGAGCAACGCCGCGUGAGUGAUGAAGGUCUUCGGAUCGUAAAACUCUGUUAUUAGGGAAGAACAUAUGUGUAAGUAACUGUGCACAUCUUGACGGUACCUAAUCAGAAAGCCACGGCUAACUACGUG
rnacentral:rRNA from 1 species